rnacentral:ncRNA from 2 species
AUGGGUGCACACGGGAGUCCGGAGCACCGGGCUGAGAGGAAGGUUUCGCACCUUCGACCGUCGAACCUGAUCUGGAUCAUGCCAGCGCAGGGAGGCCUCUUGCGGCAGCC